UUUUAUGAGAGUUUGAUCCUGGCUCAGGACGAACGCUGGCGGCGUGCCUAAUACAUGCAAGUCGAACGCUUCUUUUUCCACCGGAGCUUGCUCCACCGGAAAAAGAGGAGUGGCGAACGGGUGAGUAACACGUGGGUAACCUGCCCAUCAGAAGGGGAUAACACUUGGAAACAGGUGCUAAUACCGUAUAACAAUCGAAACCGCAUGGUUUUGAUUUGAAAGGCGCUUUCGGGUGUCGCUGAUGGAUGGACCCGCGGUGCAUUAGCUAGUUGGUGAGGUAACGGCUCACCAAGGCCACGAUGCAUAGCCGACCUGAGAGGGUGAUCGGCCACAUUGGGACUGAGACACGGCCCAAACUCCUACGGGAGGCAGCAGUAGGGAAUCUUCGGCAAUGGACGAAAGUCUGACCGAGCAACGCCGCGUGAGUGAAGAAGGUUUUCGGAUCGUAAAACUCUGUUGUUAGAGAAGAACAAGGAUGAGAGU
rnacentral:rRNA from 1 species